rfam:Prevotella sp. CAG:873 genomic scaffold, scf253
UCCGAAGUGGACAAAUUUGGCUGCUUGCAACCACUAAAAAAAAUGCUAAAAAACAACCC